UGUUCUGAUUCAGUCAUUUUUACUUUUAUGUUCUUGUUCUAAACUGAACUGCAGCGAAACCAAAGGCUGAACUGAGAGCUGAUAGGACAGCUGUUCCAGUAGGGGGCAGUGUGACCCUGACCUGCUCUGUGAGCCCAUCAUCAUCAUCAUCAUCAUCAUCAUCUGGAUGGAAAUACUACUGGUACAGAGAUGGGAAAUCUUAUGAAGCUUUGACAAAUGGACUAAUCAGUGUCUCAGAGGGAGGACUCUACAGCUGCAGAGGAGGAAGAGGAGAACCAGUUUACUACACAGAGGACAGUGAGUCAGUCAGGAUUGACACAACUGUGUCAAACAGGCCUGUUGUGACUCUGUAUCCAAACUGGUCUGAGAUAUACAGAGGAGAGACGAUCACUGUCAGAUGUGAGAUCCAUGGAGGAGACACUGAGUGGGAUUAUGAGUGGGAAACAAACAGCACCAUAAAACCUCCAAAUCAAACUGAAUACAGGAUUAGAUCUGCUUCAUCAUCCAACAGUGGAAACUAUCGCUGUAAGGGCAGAAUGAAAAGUUCACAGAAUAACACAAAUGAGUGGAGUGAUUCAGUCACACUGACAGUUUCUGACAAUAAACCCCGUCCUG